UGCAAGUCCAUUAAAUGGCAGAACUUGAUUGUAUGUCAUUAACCUGGAGUCUUCAUCAAACUCAUGAGGGUGUAAACCAUAGCUUCUUGUCCGCAGAGCCGAAGACCAGAGAGAGAGCUAUAAAAAACAGUGAGAAUGAUGCUCUUGAUAGAUUUCUUCACAAAGAACUGUAACUCUGGUCAAUAGUGGAGAACUUGAAUAUUGCGAUCACUUGUUCUUUGUGCAAAAUAUUGGACCGAGAAACCUGGAGCUGCAGCUGACAGAGAACAAACUAGAAUUUAGACUGACCAACCCAUGAACUCUCUAGUUGUGGGGAAUCUGUGAAUAUAAGCUCUUGAAGAGUUGGCCCUACUUUUGUUUCCAACGAGGAAGAGAUCUGCCUAAAAUUUGCAGAGCAGCCUGGUUUUUCAGAAGAACGGAUGAGAAACAAUCAGCCUCCUUGACGUGCCAAUAUCCCUUGGCCCUGAACUAUAGCUGAGUUAUUAAAGAACACAGGUAAUAGGUGCUGGUGGAUGUCUGGAAGGAGGAGGAAGGAACUCAGUGUCCAGCUCAGAAAGGCCACAGCAAGUACACGGCUUCCCAACCAGGACACAGCUGAGGCCAC
rnacentral:lncRNA from 1 species